CAUACUUUAGUACUAAGCCAGUUUGUGCAAUAAUGUAUAUGUACAUAGACCUAAUUUAUAAGUAUUUAUAAAUACAUAGAAAAUACCCAUGUCUCAGGAACAAAUAUUCAUGCUCAUCACACUAAUAAAUGCCCGUUCCAGGAUUUGAACCUGGGACCAUCGGCUUCAUAGGCAGGGUCGCUGCCAACAAGGCCAGACCCGUUCUCAUGAUUAACAUACAUAUAAAUACAUAAAAAGUUAAAGCAUUGAUAAAGGGCUGUUGAUAACUGGAUGCCGAAAAACAUGAUUUAUAGAUGUAUAUUAGCGCGAAAUAAUCAGUUGAUCAUCUCAUUAGCAAACAUUAGGAAUAUAAACUGUAGAUAAAGUCAUGUUUUUCCAAGGCUGUAUGUUUUCAGAUGCAGGCAGUGGGCCAAAUUUGUUGGGAACGAAGACCUGAUACAUCUUCCCAUAGAAAAGUUACAUUUAUUCAAACAUGUAUGUGCACAUCAUUAUGAAAAUCAAGCAUUUAAUAAAAUAAAAAAACACGACUUAAAAAACUGUAUUAAAAUAAUUCGGGUCCACAUUAAGCCCGACCAGAUAGUAGUCCAAUUAAGAACUAUCCACUAUAUAACAUACAACUUAAAUGUGGACUCGAUGCUAACCUGAUUUCGAGUACAAAAUUUGUAGACGGGAGCCUAUGUUUCAACCCUCCCCAUUUUAUCGAUAUCGAUAAGAAUCGUAAGCGUGUAGCGUACUACACUAUUUAAAUCGCUUAUGUUGGUACUAAGGUUCUUUGACAGUUCUUUGUCGUACAUUUUGGUAAUGAUUUGCGAAACAAACUGAUUCCACUCGCUAGUAUGGAAGUCCCGUCUCUUAAAACGUAGUCUUUAUAUGCUCUUUGACAAUGACAUGCAGUUGCGUCGAUGUAGAUCUAUCAUAAAAACGUACAUGUGACGCAUGUGACAAUUGUCCAGGAUGAAAGAAAUAUCUUGACAAUUAACAUAAAGCAAUACAAUACUACAAAAUGUAAACAAGAAAACAGAUUUAUUAUCAAAAUACAAAUUAUAUACAAAGCUUCAUUUUAAAACCAAUGGUCGUGGGUUCUAACCCCGGCUCUUAACAAUGUGCAUCUUGUAUCAUGUACCGAUUGCUUUUCAGUAAAGUAAAAUAUAUUAUCAUGAGGAAGACGGAGUAGCCCCAAUAAGGUAUAUUUUCCCCUCUGGGUUAGAAGGUCAGAUAGUAGUGAGACAGGGAGAUAUAGUGAAGAAUGCGGAAAAACAAGCAUUUAUUGUGUUGUUAGGCUAGUUCUUUUUUUCAAAAUUUAAAAACGAACGCAACAGCAUGCUCAAAGCCCCCUGUGAGUCAGAAUCUGUUAAAUUCAGGCUUAAGACGAAACAGGAGCUGAGCCCGUACACAAAUUUGAGAUUUUUAGGUAAAAGGUAAAAAAUAUCGCCGUCGCGCUGACGAGUGUGGUACCCCGUACCUAGCUAGAGACUAUCCCUUGUAUGUGUACCAACAAACCAAAUUUUAGACAAAUAUGAUACGUCUUCUUCUUCUUUGUCGUUGUACUCUUUGCAGAGCGUCGUGAUCAACUGCUGAUAUCAGGCGCAGAUGUUGCUUGCCGUACGAUUUCUCGCCAUUUUUCGCGGUUGGGGGCCAUUCUGGCAAAUGCGUUCAGGGGACCCUUCAUGGCAGAUUUGAUUUGGUCAGUCCAUCGCAUAGGUGGCCUUUUGCGCGGUCUUUUUCCGUUUGCUCUACCCUGCACCACUAGACGCUCUAUGGAGUCGUUGUUCCUCCUCGAGACGUGACCGAAAAAACUGAGUUAUGCGGGUCUUUACGAGAGUCCGAAGGCGCUGCUUGAUACGAAGUUCUUUAAGGAUGGAGACAUUAGUCCGAAACUCGGUCCAGGAUAUCCCCAGCAUUUUCCUGUUUCUAGAGCGUCUAUCGUCUUCUCCUCUGUCUUUCGGAUAGUCCAGGUCUCCGCAGCGUAUAAGAAUAUAGGAAAAACGAGGGCCCGUACAAGCCGAACCUUCGUGGUGUUUGUGACGUUUCGGUGAUACGUAGCCUAUACGUAAAAACUAGCCAAGACAAAUCCUUUAUAAUUUCAGGAUUUUCUACACAGCACAGAACAUGGCACCUCAAAUUCUCAAUUCCGUUGUCGGCGAGUCAACAACGACACAUAUUCUUAAUAUUGAACUUAAUUGGCUCUCAUUUCACAUUUAUGUUUUAAAUUAAUUAUAGGCAUAAACAUACCAUAUCCUAUUGUAAGUACAAAGUUUCAGAGCAAUCUAGCAAGUCAUUUUAAAAUGAGAGCGUAACUACAUUUGUAUGGAGAACCGAAUUUGCUGCGGACGCACAAUGUAGCAUAAUCGGAUUAGGACCAACCUCGAAAUCUCUGUAACAGUCAUGAAAUUUAUUAUGUAUAUAAAUUAAAGGCCCCUUUUUCAUGCCCAAACCAUUUAACAUUUGGGGACCUCGAGGAAUCCGAACCAUCUUGGAAAAUGUGUACCAUCAACACAACAGUCAACAUUAAAACUUAUUAAAUUCUACACAAAAAAGUCCUCGAUAUCUUUGCGGAACAAUACAUCUUGUUAUAGAGAAUACUUGCUGAAUCUAAGUUUAACGCUUAUACACUUCCAGGGGACAUUCUCUUAAAAGGAAACUCGGAGGAAUAUGAAUUCUAUUUUUAACUAUACAUUUGUACGUAGUCUACCCCAAUAUUAACAUUUUACUCUACUGUGACUAAACCAGAAAGAAGGGUUAUGGGUGUAAGUACUGAUGAUUCAGUACACCCAGUAGCUAGGUAUUAGGAUACUGGACGGAUUUUUUUAAAUGACGUAUCGUUAGAUUCCUCUUGCCAUUCACAACCUACUUUUACUUGUUCUAUUAAAGAAAAAUCAAUACAACCGCUUUGAGAGGACUCCGAAUAUUAAAUCAUAUUUUUUCUUCUAGCGCCUAAACUAUUGAGCGGAGUACAGUAAAACAGACAUCAGUAGAUCCACAGUUAGUAUACAAGUGCUAUGCAAUACAAAGUUACUAAAAUUAACGGAAGAAAAAGGUUUAGGGCUAAAUAAUACGUCAUUUAAAAAAUCCGUCCAGUAUCCUAAGCUACAGGGUGUCCUGAAUCCUCAGUACUUAUACCCAUAACCCUACUUUCUGGUUAAGUUGCAGUCAAGUAAAAUAUUGAUAUUGGGGUAGAUUAUGUACAAAUGUAUAGUUAAAAGUGGAAUUUUUAUUCUUCCAAGUUUCCUAUUAAGAGAAUAUCCCAUGAAAUGGUAUAAGGGCUAAAUCUGGGUUUAGCAAGUAUUUUUUAAAGCAAGUUCAUUUUUUUUUCGCAAAGAUGUCUAAAACUAUUUUAUGUAGAAUUUUAUAAGCUUGAAUGUUGCCUUACACGAUUAUUGAAUAAAGAACGUAGAUUUAGAGUAAAACGAGAAUUUCUCCUGGAUGGUCCACAUUUUCCAAGAUGGCUGCGGUUCCUCGAGGUCCCCAAAUGUCAAAUGGUGUGGGCAUGAAAAAGGGGCCUUUAAGGGGCGUAUAUACAUACCAAAUUUCAUGACUGUUCAGACAUUUCGAGUUUGGUCCUAAUCCGACUGUGCUAAUGCCACUAUGUACGUAAACUGUAACUGUACUGCGGACUCAACCUUCACGUUAUAAUUUUUUAAGUAUUAACGUUGACAUAGUAACGAAAAUAAUAAACACGUCAAUUGAAGUAAACAAUAUUAUUAUAUGCAAGAAAAUUUUGCAAAAUAGGUACAUUAAUAAUUAAUAUGUAAAACACCAUUAAUUAUUGAAUUAAAAUUAUGAUUUUGUGUUAAAAAAUAUGAGACCAAUAAUACAGCCCGAUUACACGGGCUACAUAUUAAAAAUGAUUAUCAAGGAAACCGUAAAUAUACACAGAUGUCGAACUACCAGCAAAGUUUUUGAAGAGGUGUAGUUUUUAUAUUUCCUGGUACCAAACUGAUACAGGAAAUUGGAACAUCAGUAAAUAAUCUACACCGAAGACAAUGAAAUAUAGUCACAUAAUACUUUAAUGUUUUAUUUUAUUAAAGAAAUCGGUAAAAAAAUGUGUUAACUGAAAAAGAUAAAUUUUAUUUUAUUUGUAGUUGAAUAACAAAAUAUGUAUUUAAUCUCCUUUAUUUAACAUAGGAAUUCUCUUUGUGUAGGUACAUAUAAAUAAUAGGUACUUAGGUCUUGGUAAGUAAUAUAGACAGUACAGUAGGUCUUAUCUUAAUAAUUUGAGAUCUCAUACAUGCGUUCCGAUAUAUCUGAUGGCGACUGUACAUACAAUGGGGUCGCGUAUACGAGUACAAAGAGCAUUUAAAUAGUUGUUGAUAGACCAAGUGAGCGAGCUACUAUGGUACCUAUCUUUAUAUCAAUUUUAUGCAUUAUGUUAAUUAUGUAAUAGCGCAAUACAGAUUUUUUUUU